AUAGGGAGACGUGGGGCCUAAACAUAACUAUUAGCUAAAUUAAACAGACUGUUAGGUUAAUUUAUUUUUUUAUUUUUAUUUUUUGAGACAGAGUCUCACUCUUUUGUCCAGGCUGGAGUGCAGUGGCACCAUCUCGGCUCACUGCAACCUCUGCCUCCUGGGCUCAAGCGAGUCUCAUGCCUCAGCCUCCCAAGUAGCUGGGAUUACAGGUAUCCACCACCAUGCCCAACUAAUUUUUGUAUUUUUAGUAGAGAUGGGGUUUCACCAUGUUGGCCAGGCUGGUCUCGAACUCCCUACCUCAGGUGAUCCACCCACCUCGACGCCUCCCAAAUAGCCAGGACUACAGGAACAUGCCACCACACCCAGUGAGGUUUCACCAUGUUGCCCAGGCUGGUCUCAAACUCCUGAGCUCAAGUGAUCCGCCCACCUCGGCCUCGGAGUUCAAGACCAACCUGGGCAACAUAGUGAGACCCCCAUCUCUACUACAAAAAAUUAAAAAAUUAGCAAGGUGUAGUGGUAUACGCCUGUAGUUGCAGCUACUUGGGAGGCUGAGGUAGGAGAAUCACUUGAAUCCAGGAGGUCAAGGCUGCAGUGAGCAAAGAUUGUGCCACUGCACUCUAGCCUGGGCAGCUGACUGUCCCUAACAAACUUGUGACUUAGGCAAGCCACAUAAUGCCUUUGGGGCCUAGUUCUGCAGGGACAGAAUUUAUCAGAUCCCUGACUACCAAGAUGCUAUGAUUCUAAUUCUUAUGUGAGCAGAUGGAGGGAGACAGGGAUUCUGAGAAUCCUAGGCAGUAUGUACUUUAAGGAACUUUCUCUGUGGCUUUGAAACUGGUUAUAUAAUUAGCUCCAGGAGAUUGAGGUCCUGAAUAAUAUUUUUUCAUAGGUAAGUAUUAUUUUGCUAGAAUAUAUCCAGCAAAUUAGAAGGAUGGGGAAAGGUAGAGGAGUUCCUAGCUUGAAUUUAUAUAUAGAUAAGUAAAUAAACUGCAGCAGUCUGUCAAUAAAGGGGGUAAUUCUUGCAUCUGUAAAAUUGGCUACUUUGCAGAGAGCCACAUCUACUUGGGCUUCCUGCCCUCUCCCAUCCCAAAUGCACCAAGUUCAUUCUCCCUUUUUUUCCCAGUGUUAACUCCAUUUUAGAGCUACUCUGUGGGUGGGCAUGGUGAGGCCUAGGUGGGCGGAUCACCUGAGGUCAGGAGUUCGAGGCCAGCCUGGCCGACAUGGCGAAACCCCGUCUCUACUAAAAAUAGAAAAGUUAGCCAGGCA
rnacentral:lncRNA from 10 species